GCGAAGGACGAUAACAUGAGUUUAACAGCGAAUAACGAGGAAAUUAAGCGACAGUAUUACGGUGUUAGCGAAUAAUAACGCUUAGUAGUGUGAAAAACGUGGAAUGAUCGAAGAAAUUGCAAUAAAGGCACAGCGGAAGUGAGAAAACAUGCCAUGAAGGUGACGAAAACCACAAAGAAUUCACAAAAGACAUAGUGUGAGUGAGAAAAUAAGAAAGAUAAAUAAAAGUUUGAUUUUUAGCGAGUAUUGCAGUCUUAUAGAUGAAACUACAAGAACUACAAGAACAGCAGCAACAGUAACAACAACAACAACAACAACAACAGUUUGGUGCCUCUGCCAUCUCGUUCCCGGCAAGGCAGACACCUGGAGAUAAUCCUUGUCACUGAUCUGAGCAUAAUUCGCGUUGGUAAUUAAUCUGGAGGUGUGAGUUGAAGGAGAAUGCCGCGGCCACACCUGCAAGAGUCCCGCGUCUUGUUACUUGAGCACGGCGACCACCAGCGGCCAGCGAGAAUAAUUAAUACCUGAGCCACCACACAGACAGGCUCAUUUCUCUCUCUUGUUUCGUGGUGGUGAUGAAGAGUCGGGUCGUCAGAGGGUCAUCAGAAGGGUCGUCAUCACCCCGUCAUCACCCCGUCAUCACCCAGUUAUCACCCCGGCUCAGGCCUGUCAUCACCUGCUCGCCACCUGCCGGUCACGAGCAGGCAGGUAAAGGUAAAGACCAGCUGGAUUGGCUCUUCAUCAUCACCCACGCUGUGUUUGCGCCUCUACCCGUGAUUGCUGUGCUCCC